rnacentral:rRNA from 1 species
UACGGAGGGUGCAAGCGUUGUCCGGAAUCACUGGGCGUAAAGGGCGCGUAGGCGGCUCAUGAAGGCUGUGGUGAAAGUCCGGGGCUCAACCUCGGAUCGGCCGUGGCGACUCGUGGGCUGGAGCACUGUAGAGGCGGGUGGGAUUCCGGGUGUAGCGGUGGAAUGCGUAGAGAUCCGGAAGAACACCGGUGGCGAAGGCGGCCCACUGGGCUGUCACUGACGCUGAGGCGCGAAAGCUCGGGGAGCGAACGGG